rnacentral:misc_RNA from 1 species
AUACGUUUCCUCAGCUGAUCUGCCCUCGGCCCCGCCCAACGUUCAUGGCCCGCCCGAGGACCCCUAACCUCUGUUCUCAGCGGAACUACACACCUAAAACAUACGACUAAUUCAAAACAUUUCAACAACGGAAUCUCUUGGUUCUGGCAUCAAUUAACAACGCAGCAUAAUGCGAUUACUGAUGCGAAUUGCAAAAUUCAGUGAAUCAUCAACUCUUUGAACGCGCAUUGCUCCCGCCAGCAUUCUGGCUGGCAUGCCUGUUUGAGCCCCCUUUCAUCCCUCGAGCUCUGCUUGUUGUAGGGACUCUCCUUAACCCCCGUUCCCCAUAGCGAUUGGCGGCCACGUCCAGCUUCCAUAGCGUACUAAUCAUACACCUCGUUACUGGUCAUCGUCCCAGCCACGCCCUAAAACCCCUACUUCUGAAUGUCUACCUCCGAUCACGUAGCAAGACCCGCUCAACUUAAUCAUAUCACUAGUCGAAGGAAGACAGGUAGGGAUACCCGCUGAACUUAAGCAUAUCAUAAGCGGAG